GGCCCUCCUGGAUAAGACAGGAUGAUAUCCUCAUCUCAAGACCUUUAACUUAGUUGCAUUUGCAAAGACCCCUUUCCAAGUAAGGUGACAUUCACAGGUUCUGGUAAUUAGGACAUAAGCAUUUAUUUAGGGGCCGCUAUUCAACCCACUGUAGAGUUUUUUGCAUAUUAUAUUCACUUGUGGCUUCUCUAAUCAAGAGAUUAGGGUAAACUCUUAUCUGGUCUGACCUUGGGACUUGCUUUGACCAGUAGAAUGCAGCAGACAUGACAUUCUAGGACUUUUAGGUCCAGUCCUACAAUGGUCACAUAGCCUCUGCUUUUGAUCAGAGGGAAAAACAGCUGCUAUGUAAGGAAGUUCACUUAUUGUCCUGGAGAGAGUGGCUACAUGGAGAGAAAAAAAACCUCUGAAGCAUGAAACACUAUGGAGGGAUGGAGAAAGAGACCCAGCCAGCCCCUGAACUAAAGGUAAAAACUGGAAGAACAACGGGACUAUUUAUGGAGGUUAGAAGAGCAAUAAGCAAAUUAUUAUUGGAGACUGGAGAAGAAUGCCCAAUAUUAAAUAGUGGGGAAACAUUUGACAAAACUAUUAUGUGCAAGAAUAUAAAGAUAAAAAAUAUACCUAAGGAGUCUGUGGAACUGGCUAAGCAGGUUUCCAGGCAGAAUUCUGAAUGUGCCAAUUGGCUUCCAAUAUGGUUUAUCUGUGUCCCCACCCAAAUCUCAUCCUGAAUUGUAACUCCCACAAUUCCCACGUGUGGAGGGAGGAACCUGAUGGGAGGUAAUUGAAUUAUGGGGGCGGGUCUUUCUUGUGCUGUUCUCAUGAUAGUGAGUCUCAUGAGAUCUGAUGGUUUUAAAGACAGGAGUUUCCUUGCACAAGCUCUCUUCUCUCAUCUGCUGCCAUGAGACAUUCACCUUCCACCAGGAUUGUGAGGCUGUCCCAGGCAUGUGGAACUUUAAGUUCAUUAAACUUUUUUUUUUUAACGGGAGGAAGGCAUUUUUCAAAUCAGGUGGAGACACGCAGUCACAGGAGGUGGGUCCAGGCAGGGGCUGCUCGCUGUCCACACCCACCUCCCCAUCUGGACACAACUGUAGGAAGAGCAUCCCCUGGCUGACAGCGUUCACAGCAGGUGCAGUGAUGCACGGUGACUCCACUGUAACGUCCUGGGGCAGGUAGGGGUGGAUGCUGCAGCGCCGGCUAAAUGCAGGCAACAGGGCCACCUGCAGGGUUCCGGCAGCUGUUCCUGCCCUCUCGCAGCAAGCUGAGCAGGCCUCCAUAGGAAGAUGUCUGCUUGGGCGGGACACCGAAGAACAGCUGUCCUAUGCAGUCGAGGUACUUCGUUGUACAUAGGGUCCCGCCGGAGGGAUGGCUGGUACUGCUCACAUAGCACGGUGAACACCGUUAGCUUUCCGCCAUCCACAGCCAGCCGCAGGAACCAGAUGAAGUUGAGCAGCGGCUCCAUGAAGUUGAGCAGCGGCUGCCAUCCUCGAUGGACGGGUGCUUCUGGGUGUACGUCGUGAAGACCACAGAUGCGCUACUUUUGUUUUUUAAACAGAGAAACUGUAGCACGGCCUGGGCCACAAACAUGUCCACCUCGCUGCGGAAGCCCCGGGAUGUGGAUUUUGUUGUAAAUUGUCCAGUCUUGGUUAUGUCUUUAUCAGCAGCAUGAAAACAGACUAAUUGGUACCAGUAGAGUGGGGCACUGCUGAAAAGAUACCCAAAAACGUGAAAGCAACUUUAGAAAUGGGUAACAGGCAGAGGUUGGAACAGUCUGGAAGGCUCAGAAGAAGACAGGAAAAUGUGAGAAAAUUUGGAACUUUCUAGAGACUUGUUGAAUAGCUUUGCCAAAAAUGCUGAUAGCAACAUGGAAAAUAAUGUCCCUGCUGAGGUGGUCUCAGGUGGAAACAAGAAACUUGUUAUAGGAAUGGGAACAAAGGUGUUUCUUAUUAUGUUUUAGCAAAGAGACUGGUGGCAUUUUGCCCCUGCCCUAGAGAGGUAUGAAACUUUGAACUUAAGAGACAUGAUUUAGGGUAUCUGGCAGAAGAAAUUUCUAAGUAGCACAUCAUUUAAAAGGUGACUUGUGUGUUGUUAAAAGCAUUGAGUUUUAUAAGAGAAGCAGAGCAUAAAAGUUCAGAACAUUUGUAGCCUGACAAUUCAAUAGAAAAGAAAACCCCAUUUUCUGAGGGAAAAUUCAAGCUGGCUGCAGAAAUUUGCAUAAGUAACUAGGAGCUGAAUGUUAAUCCCCAAGACAAUGGGGUAAAUGUCUCCAGGACAUGUCAGAGGUCUUCAUGGCAGCCCCUUCCAUCAGAGGCCUGGAGGGCUAGGAGGAAAAAGUGGUUUCAUGGGUGGGGCCCAAGGUACCCAUGCUGAUUGCAGCCUAGGCCAUGGCUCAGGCUGUGGCUUCCGAGGGUGCAGGCCUCAUGUUCUGGCAGCUUCCAUGUGGUGUUGAGCCUGCCAAUGCACAGAAGUCAAGAAUUGGGGUUUGGGAAUCUCUGCCUAGAUUUCAGAGGAUGUAUGGAAACACCUAGAUAUUCAGGCAGAAGUUUGCUGCAGGAGUGGGGAUCUGAGGGAACCUCUGCUAGGGCAGUGAGGAAGAUAAAUGUGUGGUUGAAGCCCCCACACAGAGUCCCGACUGUGGCAAUGUGUAGUUGAGCUGUAAGAAGAGGGCCACCAUCUUCCAUCCCCCAGAUUCACCCACAGCUUGCACCGUGCACCUAGAAAAACCACAGACACUCAAUGCCAGGCAUGAAGGCAGCCAGGAGGGGGACUAUACCCUGCAAAGCCACAGAGGUGGAGCUUCCCAAGACCAUGGAAACCUACCUCUUGCAUCAGUGUGACCUGGAUGUGAGACUGGAGUCAAAGGAGAUCAUUUUGGAGCUUUAAGAUUUGACUGACCCACUAGAUUUUAGACUUGCAUGGGGCCUAUAGCCCCUUCGUUUUGGCCAAUUUGUCUCAUUUGGAAUGGCUGUUUUUACCCAAUGCCUGUACCCCAUUGUAUCUAGAAAGAAACUAACUUGCUUUUGAUUUUACAGGCUCAUAGGUGGAAGGAACUUGCUUUGUCCUAGAUGAAACUUUGGACUAUGGACUUUUGAGUUAAUGCUGCAAUGAGUUAAGACUUUGGGGGACUGUUGGGAAGGCAUGAUUCAUUUUGAAAUGUGAGGAAAUGAGAUUUGGGAGGGACCAGGGACACGUUGGUAUGUUUUGGCUGUGUUCCUACCAAAAUCUCAUCUUGGAUUGUAACUCCCACAAUUCCCAUCGUCAUGGGAGGAACCUGGUGGGAAGUGAUUGAAGUAUGAGUGUGGGUCUUUCUUGUGCUGUUCUCUAGAUAGUGAAUAUCUCAUGAGAUCUGAUGGUUUUAGAAAAUGGGAGUUUCCCUGCAUACACCCUCUUCUCUUGUCUGCUGUCAUGUGAGUCAUGCCUUUCACCUUUCACCAUGAUUUUGAGGUCUCUCCAGCCACAUGGAACUGUAAGUCCAUUAAACCUCUUUGUUUUGUUAUAAAUUGCCCCGUCUUGAGUAUGUCUUUAUAGCAGCAUGAAAAUGAACUAAUACAGCCUCUUAUUACUUACAUAUUAUAAGGCAUUACAAAAAUGAUAUUGACUAAAGAGGAAUGAUUCCAUUUUCAAGUCAAAUUCAGAGAAAAUAUUUCCAACCGAGGGCUUGCUAAGUUGUAAAAUAAAAUAUUUUCUCUUUCCACAUUCUUGAGUUAGAAAAAUGUUCUGAAAGUGAGAAAGGGCCCCAGGAAAAAGAUAGAAUUCAGGACAUUGUCAAUAAGACAUAGCCUUAGCGUAAAGAUCACAUCAACAGUGUAGUACAAGAACCCUAAUUUAACUCAGUGCCUUGUCAACCUUCUCAGCUAAACAAAACAGCUUGUAACAAUUUUAAAAGUAUUGUUCCACAACACUGACUCAAAGCCUGCAUUAGAGAGGGGCUUGUCUUGAAGAGAUUUGUAUGUGUGACUUUUUCACUUAUAAUUUGAUUUAUUUGAUUUCAGAUUUAGACUUUGAUACACAGAAAGCACAUUACAUUUCUUAAGGUUUAUAUCAGCUCAAACUAAAAAGUACAUGGAAGGUGCAAAAUGAAAAAAGGUAAUUUUUUCAUUUCAUUGUUCUCUGAGCCCUCAACUUGCUUUGCAAAAGGUAGACUAAGACAGCUGCAUGAUGGCAAACGUGAAAAAUUUCUUGGUAACAAAGGAAAUAUGAUUCAGAGGGUAGAGCCCAGAGCCCAGCAGACAAAAAUAUAAGCUAUUAGAAGCAAUGAAUUAGCUAAUCAUUUCUAUAUAGCAAAACUGAACCCAAAUCAAGAAACAUUCCUUGCCUCCAGAUUAGGGGACACUGAUAAGAUAAGCCUGGCUGUAUUACAGAAUUGCUAUUGGGUGCUGACUACUAUGUGCCUUCAUUUCUCCAUGUUAUAAAUGAGUGUCUAAUGUGGUUAUUCUGUUCUGUCUUAACACUAUAUUGCUGGGCAUGGAGGUACAGAUAACUUGCGUUUUUGCUUCAUAGUUCAUAUCAAAAGGAGCUGCAUGUAUGAAAUUUCAUGCACAUCCAUAUGAUCCCAAUUGCAGAUCAAGAGAUACUGGGCAUUGAAUUUGAUACAAUUUGUUGAGACUUCAGGGGUCUUUGGAGCAGUUGACUUUAUGUGGAUUUUUGUAGCCAGAGAGCAGACUGUGGAAGAUUGUAUGUAACUAUGGUCAGUAAGAUGUAUUUGUGCACUUGCCAGUUCUCUGACCAAGAGAGUACGUGUGUUUACCCACACCUUGAAUCUGCACAGAACUUGUGAUAUUUUUGACAAGUUUAAUGCAGCAGAAGUCGUAUUCUUGGAUUUUUGAGCCCAGAUAUUCUAAUGUUGUACAGCUUCUUUUUUAGCUCAGAGAGGAAACAAGAAGCUACAUAAAGAAUCCAUGUAAAGAGAGAGCAUGUGCAGGAAAAGAGGCCCCAGAGUAUAAGAGCCUAUGAAGGGAGAGAGAGAGAGAGGAUCAGCCAGGUCCCAGUCACUUCUGUCAAACAUUUGAGAAACAUGACAUGUAUAAAACUAUCAUGGAUUCUCCAACCAAUGUACAUGCUGCAGAAAUGAGCUUUCCCUUUUGAGCACUGCUUGAAUUCCUGAACAAUAGAACUGUGAGAGUUAAAUGAUUGUUUUAAGUCAAUAGUGUGAAGCAGGUUCACUGUGCACUGGUUACCAAGUUGUUUGAGUCCAGUGAGAAAGAACACUCACAUACAAGUUCAUGAAGCAGGCUUAUUACUUACAGAUAGUGAGCAAGGGACAUCAGAAGCCUAGGAUUCACUAUGAACCAGUCCCCUCUCUACAGGCGGCAGAGGGGUGUCAUACACCCAUAACUAAGUACAUGCUUUAUUUUAAAGAGUGCAGUUUACUUUGCUGGGAAUUAACAGCAAAGAAAAGAGAAGGUAUUGAGUCCCUAGUAAUUGUAGAGUUUACAAAAAGUGAAUUGAUGAUUGCCAUUAAAUAAACUAUGUAUCACAAAACAAUGUCAACUAGAUGAAUAAACAAAAUGACUGGGGAGUGACAGCGAGCAGGAGAUUUGUGUCUCUAUUAAGUAAAACAGAGAUGAUUUUUCUUGCAAAUGGUCUUUUUGGAAAACUUGACACAAGUGAACAUGGACAUUUUUGUCACUUCUUCCUUGAAACCAUGCAAAUAUGCAACUGAAAGACAGGGUAUGAUGCAGGUUAAUAAUACAAAUCACCAAGCUCAUUAUCACUGAGAAUCAUAAAGAUGCAGAGAGAACACACAUCUUAACCAAUUGGAACUACUUAGCAUGGUUUUCACAGUUAAAUAUUAUAGUUCUAUGAUAAAUAGAUCAAAAACUUUGAUAAUAAAAUUAUUUUAUAGAUUUGUCACUUGUAUGAAAUAAUGCACCUGUGCCUUCAGUAUUUCUUACUGAUGAUUUCUUUUCUUUUUUUCUGUCAAUAUGUCAUAUUUCAGUUUUGACAUUUUAAAGCCUUUGGUUUGAUGAGAGGUUUUUCACCCUGGAAAAAUGCAUGUGGUUGGAUUCUGGAAGAGUAACGGGUUUGUUCUUGGGUCCAUUGGGAUGAAAAUGAUAGUAGUGAGAGAUAAGAGGAGAACCACCAGAGGGAUAUCCUGUAGGCAGGUAUGUUUAGGAAAGAGAACAUAUGGAGGGUAAGAAGUUGGAUUCUUAAAAAUAUAUAUUUAAUAAGUUCAGCUUUUAUUUUAGAUUCAGGUACAUGUGCAAGUUUUUUACAUGGGCAUAUUGUGUGAUGCUGAGGUUUAGGGUGUGAAUGAUCCCAUCGCUCAAGCAGUGGGCAUAGUACCCGGAAGGUAGACUUUCGGCCUCUUGCCUCCCUCCCCCCACCCCCUAGUAGUCUCCAGUGCCUAUUCCCAUGUUUAUGUCCAUGAGUAUCCAACGCUUAGCUCCCACUUAUAAGUGAGAACAUGCGGUAUUUGGUUUUCUGUUCUUGCCUUAAUUCACUGAAGAAACUGGAUUCUCUAAAGCCACUCCACACCCAACUAAAGUCUCUUAGGGCAAGUUUGCACGUACUCUGAUAUACCCAGACUCUUUUGAAGAGUGCUAGUUCACAUUAUCUUACAUUUGGUAAUCAAGCUUUUUAAUUGUUUAUCCACAAUGGGUUAAUAGGCACUACACUGUCAUAGCCUGCAGUGUUGAUGUAUUCAUUUCUGCCCAGGAAGGCUAUUUUGUGUGAGUCUCAUUUUUGUGACUUUAAAUUAGAUGAGACUUCAAAUUUACACAUUUUCUUCUAUCUCUCUGUGCUUUAUUACAUGGUUAAGUGCUUUAAGAUUUAUUGAAUCCAGUUGUUUUAUUUCUCAGUAAUCACCAGAACUCACCUAAUUUGAUUAUGCCAAUCUGUUAUUUUCAAGAAUUGUUUUUUUAAAAUUUCCUUUCCCAGUUAAUAUUGUAUUUGUGGCUUUCUUGAUUUAAAAAUAUAUUAAGAAAUAUAAUUUUAUGAAAGAUCAUUUGAAAAAGUUUGCUGAAGCAUUUUUUUCCUUAGGCUAUAACAAAGCUUAAUAACAAAGAAUGUAUUCUAGAGUAAUUUUUGGGGCAAAUUCUAAAACACAUUGCUUGCAGUGAUCUCCACCCUUUCCUCAUGAAUACAAAGUCGUGUGUUUCUGUUUUUCUGGGUAUAGAAGCGGAUAGCAGAAUGAUGUAACUCCUUAUUCACAACAUCCUUGCAGCCCCACAUUAAAAACAUUUUUGCUUAAAUAAUGAGCAUUUUUGCUCGUCCAUAAAGAACCCACAUGAGACACAAAAAAAUGUUUUUCCCAGAUGGUCCUUUUUGCAUUAAAAUUACUAACUCAGACAUCAAAAGCAAACAAUAAAAGUGUUGAAAUAUGUAAUUUGGGCCAAAACAACAGAGCCUUGAACUUCCAUGGGCUUUGCAAUUUUAAGAGAACAGCUGGGUGUGCGCAGGCAGUCAGCCCAGCUAUGACUCUCAGCCUUGUGUUUCUUUCUCUAUAUAGUCACUAUGGGUACAGUUUCCUUCUUUUGGAAAUGGAAGCAUGGUUAUAAUCAUUCUUGAACUUGAGAAAGGCAUAGGGAUUUCCUUACCUUUUAUAAAGGGGGAAAACUGUUUUUAGUAUUUAUGGUGUAUCAGUUGUUUUUGUUUUGCUAUUCAUUUGCCUUUUUUUGCUGGUAAAAUAACCAGUAUUUUUCUUGGGGAACUACCUCUUCACAGAAUCAACCAUUGGGUGUUCCAGAAGACAUAUAGCCUAGAUUUCAAGUCCUCUAGGAAUCAGCCAUAUCUAAUCUAAUCACAACUUCAAUCAUUCUUUUCUGGAUACAGCCACAGAGCUGGAGGUACUGACCCAAGGAAGUUUCAGUAUCAGCCGUGCACUAAGUCCAGAAUGAGUGCUUCCUCUGUCUGAUUAAGGCCCUGACACUGAAUUAGGGUCGUCAAUGCAGGCUCUUCUCCCUUAUCGCAAAUACUGUCUUGGGAUUUAAUUGUCUUUGCUGGUCAUCUCCACCAGGGCUUUGGAGGCCCAUUAGGCCAUUUGACAACUCUGACCUUGAGAGUGGGAGUCUAAAUUGGACACUAACUUGAGGAGGGCUAUGAGACUCCAUCUACUCAAAGGGCCAGAGCCCUGGGGCUAGAUCCCACAAAGAUCCAAUUAUCUCUCCUUAUCAACUCACAUGGAUAAUUAUUUCCUUUACAUUUAUAUCACACAGGGGACUAUUUUGGGAUUCCCCCAUCCGCCCUGGAAAAGAAGCCAGCUCCAAAGAUAAGCUGACCUCUCCAUCAUCAGAGAAAGAAAACCAUCAACAAAUUUUAAGGAACCUGUUACCAGCUUAAAAGAAAAUAGUACCAUAUAUACGUAUUUAUAGUGCAUCUUUAAAAGAAUUAGAGUAUAUAUAUUUAAUUUUUUAACUGUGAUGAUUGCUUCCUGCUCCUCUCCUCCUUCAUGGGCUCCCUGGAGUCCGUGCAAGCUGGCCAGGAUGUCUCAGGCUGAGUCUGAGAAAGCUGUGGAAGAUGUUAAGCACCUUAAGACCAAGCCAGGGGAUGAUGAGAUGCUGUUCAUCUAUGGCCACUACAAACAAGCAACUGUGGGCUACCUAAAUACUUGGGAUGUUGGACUUCAAGGGCAAGGCCAGGUGGGAUGCCUGGAAUGAGCUGAAAGGGACUACCAAGGAAGAUGCCAUGAAAGCUUAUGUCAACAAAGUAGAAGAGCUAAAGAAAAAAACACGAAAUGUAAGAGACUGGAUUUGAUUGCCAGCCAUGCAUUUAUCCUAAGCUGAGACAAUGCCUUGUUUUUUCCAAUACUGAAGACGCGAAUUAGGGAAAAUAACGAGUUAACCCAGCUCCUCAAGGCUGCUCACCACAGAACUCAAACAGAUUAGGUGCUGAAAUGAUUACUGACCUUCCUUGAGUAGUUUUCUGAGAUCAGUUAAAAGUGUAUUUGUGACUUAAAAAAAUUAUAAUGAACACAGGUUUUGGAUAAUUAAGGAGCAACCUCAAGUUUCUGAGAUCCAUUAUUAUAGAAGCAUGGAGUAACAAUAGGACAUUCCAGUUAACAGGAGCCUGAACGCAAGAUCAUUUGUUGUAUUUAUUAUGUAUUUGCAUGCACAUUGCAAGAUCUUAAGAAAUUCACUAAGUAGUCAUAACCUUUGCUUUCUAGGAAUCUUGAAUACGAAGUAAAAGAUGGGCAUUUUCAUGAUCAUCCCAGUGUAAACCUGACACACCCCAGCAUUAUUAACAUUAUUCCAGAUAAUAUCUGAAUUUCCUUCCACUUUCACUGUGGGUAUUGGAAGGGCAAAGAGUAGAAAACAACAACUUAGGGAAUGAGCAAACAUGGAAUUGGAAUUUGUAAACCAUAUUCAGGAAGAGACAGCUUUGGCUAGAGCAAUAGUUUUAAUGGUUUAAUGGUUUUUCAUUUUUUUUAAGGGUUCUGUUUAGACAUUUCAGAAUUCUUUGAACUUCCUACUGGCACAUGGGGAGUGGGCAUCAAGUGGGUGGGGCUAUGAUGUUCUUAGACACUACAAUGAACUGAAUGCUUACAUUUCCCCCAAAACUUAUAUGUUCAAAUCCUAUCUUCAAAUGUGAUGGUAUUAGGAGGUGAGGCCUUUGGAAAGUGAUUAGAUCAUGAGGAUGGAGCCCUCAUGAAAGGGACUAGUGCCCUAAAGUAACCCCAGUUAGCUCUCUGGUUCUCCUUCUGCCAGGUGAGGAUUUAAUGAGAAGACAGCAGUCUGCAGCCUAGAAGAAAGCCCUCACCAGAACACAACCUUGCUAGUACCCUGUGUGAGUCUAUUUUUACAUUGCUAUAAAGAAAUACCUGAGGCUAAGUGAUUUAAAAAGAAAAUAAGUUUAAUUGGCUCACAGUUCUGCAGGCUGUACGGAUGCAUGGUGCUGGCAUCUGCUUCUGGUAAGGAACUCAGGAAGCUUACAAUCAUGGCAGAAGGCAAAGAGGGAGCCAGUGUUCUCACGUCUGAGAGUGGGAGCUGCAGAGAGAGAGGUCCCAGACUCUUUUAAACAGCCAGAUCUCACAUGAACUAACAGCGAGAACUCAUUUUCUACCAAGGGGAUGGUGCUAAACCAUUCCUGAUAGUUUCACUUCCAUGAUCCAGUCACCUCCCACCAGGCCCCACUUCCAACAUUGGGAUCACUGUUCAACAUAGAUUUGCAGGGGACAAACAUUCAAACCAUCUAAUACCUUGAACUCGGACUUCCAGCCUCCAGAUCAGAAGAAAUAGAUAUAAGUUGUUUAUAAGCCAGCUAGGAGGCUGUCAACUUAGAACCUAUCUUUUUGGAGUGACCUUGAAUACAUUUUCUCUUAUCUAGAAGGAUCUCUACAGUGAGUUGUUUCAGAUAUGUGGGGUCUAGAACCAGACUGAUGGAUUCAAGUUCUGCCCUGCCACUUACUUGUUCUACUGCCUUGAGUAAGUUAAAUAACCUUUCUGUGCCUUAGUUUUCUCAUCAGUAGGAUGACAUCAAUAUUAGAAUUUCCCUUAUAAGCUUGUUAUGAGAAUUAAUGCAUUAAUACAAGGAUUGGUAAAUUUUUUCUGUAAAGAACCAGAUAAUAAAUAGUUUAGGCUUUGUGGACUAUGUAGUCUCUGUGGCAACUACUCAAGUAUGCCCUUGUAUUAAAUAGAAUGGGAGCAACCAUAGAUAAUACCUGAAUAACUUGGUGUGGCUAUGUUCCAAUAAAGCCUUACAAAAACAGGCAGUGGGCUGAAUUUGGCCUGCAGGAUGUAGUUUGCCAAUCCCUGGAAUACUUAUGCACUAAUACUUAGACCCGUUGUAAGAACGCCAAAAAUAUUAGCUUUAAAAAAAAAUUAUCAUGGUCAUCAUCAUUAUCGUCAUCAUAUACAUUCACUCACUCAACAAAGGAUAAUAAAUCCUACUAUGUGCUAAUU